CUUGUAUUUUGGUUUCUUUGCUCAUCGUACUUGUUUCUGCGGUGGUUGAACUCCUGCGAGUACGUGAAUUUGCUGAGACGGUUUCGAUUUUCGCUCAUGUUUAUAUUUGAAAUGGUGAGAUGAAGGGUGGGAAACGUCAAUCUUUUGGUGGAGAGAGGGGGAUGAAGGGGUUGAGAUCCUCUGUUGCUUGCUGAAUUGUUUGUCUGACUUCUUUCGUUUUUUUUUUUCGGGGAGUAUGGUUAAAGGCUUUAAGGUGGUGGUGCGUUUAGGACAGGUGUCAUGCAUGGCCAGAUACAGAGAUUUUAUGUAUCGAAAGUGGUGAAGUAAUGAGAUUGCACGCCUUGCAGAAGGGGUAAACGUAAGAGGAUGCAUUUUUGAAACGCAUCAAUUAGAGCCUGCAAGUGCAGUUUGUUGAUGUUUUCAUGUAAAAGACGAAAACAGAGGAUGAGCGGCGGAGGUUUUUCUUUUUCCUUCUGAAUACUGAACUGAAGUUCUGGGCGAGUACCGUAGUUUGAUUUCAGUUCUUGCUGGCUUCUUUUGUUGGGAAUGAGAGAGUUGAAGUUAUUAAUUAUGAGUUCUCUGUAAGGUUGUAUUUUUGUGAAGUGUUUAGCUUCCAUAGAAGUUUCGAGAAUUUUAGUGGAAGCAGGGGAAGCAUUUGUAUCUGGAGCUUCACGCCUCCUUAGGUUUUCUUGGAUUGUGACAUGAAAGCUAAUUCUAUUAUAUGGAGGUUUCUAUAAGUUUUUUUGCAAAUGGGUUCAGGACAUUUCCUAUGCAUGACAUGAUAUAGAAAUUUUAUGUAUUCUACAUGUUGAAAAUGAGCAAUAAUUGUGAAUUUUACACAUUGCAAAAAUGAAGAAAGUACAAAGAAAAAAUUGUUAGUAUUAGGUCCACUGCCAGUGUAAAGUUAUUCUUGCAGAUUCAUUUUUAGAUGAGUGUUAUGCAUGUUUUGAUUUAUCUUUGUAACCGAAUUCUUUCACUUGUUAAUAAUCCAACGGUGAAUGUGUACACUAGCAGAGGACUUAAUAAA